rnacentral:rRNA from 1 species
CCUACGGGAGGCAGCAGUGAGGAAUAUUGGUCAAUGGACGCAAGUCUGAACCAGCCAUGCCGCGUGCAGGAAGACGGCUCUAUGAGUUGUAAACCUCUUUUGUCAGGGAGCAACGCCGGCUACGUGUAGCCGGACUGAGAGUACCUGAAGAAAAAGCAUCGGCUAACUCCGUGCCAGCAGCCGCGGUAAUACGGAGGAUGCGAGCGUUAUCCGGAUUUAUGGGGUUUAAAGGGUGCUUAGGCGGAAUGCCAAGUCAGCGGUAAAAUCGCGGGGCUCAACCUCGCUCCGCCGUUGAAACUGGCGGUCUUGAGUGGGCGAGAAGUAGGCGGAAUGCGUGGUGUAGCGGUGAAAUGCAUAGAUAUCACGCAGAACUCCGAUUGCGAAGGCAGCAUACCGGAGCCCAACUGACGCUGAAGCACGAAAGCGUGGGUAUCGAACAGGAUUAGAUACCCGUGUAGUC